rnacentral:rRNA from 1 species
AUUGAACGCUGGCGGCAGGCCUAACACAUGCAAGUCGAGCGGAUGAAGGGAGCUUGCUCCUGGAUUCAGCGGCGGACGGGUGAGUAAUGCCUAGGAAUCUGCCUGGUAGUGGGGGAUAACGUCCGGAAACGGGCGCUAAUACCGCAUACGUCCUGAGGGAGAAAGUGGGGGAUCUUCGGACCUCACGCUAUCAGAUGAGCCUAGGUCGGAUUAGCUAGUUGGUGGGGUAAAGGCCUACCAAGGCGACGAUCCGUAACUGGUCUGAGAGGAUGAUCAGUCACACUGGAACUGAGACACGGUCCAGACUCCUACGGGAGGCAGCAGUGGGGAAUAUUGGACAAUGGGCGAAAGCCUGAUCCAGCCAUGCCGCGUGUGUGAAGAAGGUCUUCGGAUUGUAUAGCACUUUAAGUUGGGAGGAAGGGCAGUAAGUUAAUACCUUGCUGUUUUGACGUUACCAACAGAAUAAGCACCGGCUAACUUCGU